rnacentral:rRNA from 1 species
ACGGAAGGCAGCAGUGGGGAAUAUUGCACAAUGGGGGAAACCCUGAUGCAGCGACGCCGCGUGAAGGAAGAAGUAUCUCGGUAUGUAAACUUCUAUCAGCAGGGAAGAUAAUGACGGUACCUGACUAAGAAGCCCCGGCUAACUACGUGCCAGCAGCCGCGGUAAUACGUAGGGGGCAAGCGUUAUCCGGAUUUACUGGGUAUAAAGGGAGCGUAGACGGAGAAGCAAGUCUGAUGUGAAAGGCAUGGGCUCAACCUGUGGACUGCAUUGGAAACUGUUUUUCUUGAGGGCCGGAGGGGUAAGCGGAAUUCCUAGUGUAGCGGUGAAAUGCGUAGAUAUUAGGAGGAACACCAGUGGCGAAGGCGGCUUACUGGACGGUAACUGACGUUGAGGCUCGAAAGCGUGGGGAGCAAACAGGAUUAGAUACCCUGGUA